GAUCCUGGCUCAGGACGAACGCUGGCGGCGUGCUUAACACAUGCAAGUCGAACGAUGAUGAGGGAGCUUGCUUCCUCUGAUUAGUGGCGAACGGGUGAGUAACACGUGAGCAAUCUGCCCCAGACUCCGGGAUAACUGCGGGAAACUGUAGCUAAUACUGGAUAUGCACCGAACAGGCAUCUGUAUCGGUGGAAAGAAUUUUGGUCUGGGAUGAGCUCGCGGCCUA
rnacentral:rRNA from 1 species